rnacentral:rRNA from 1 species
UACGUAGGGUGCGAGCGUUGUCCGGAAUUAUUGGGCGUAAAGAGCUCGUAGGCGGCUUGUCGCGUCGGAUGUGAAAGCCCGGGGCUUAACUCCGGGUCUGCAUUCGAUACGGGCAGGCUAGAGUUCGGUAGGGGAGAUCGGAAUUCCUGGUGUAGCGGUGAAAUGCGCAGAUAUCAGGAGGAACACCGGUGGCGAAGGCGGAUCUCUGGGCCGAUACUGACGCUGAGGCGCGAAAGCUAGGGGAGCGAACAGG